GACGAACGCUGGCGGCGUGCUUAACACAUGCAAGUCGAACGGAAAGGCCCUGCUUUUGUGGGGUGCUCGACUGGCGAACGGGUGAGUAACACGUGAGUAACCUGUCCCUGACUUUGGGGUAUCUUCAGGAAAAUGGGGGUCUUACAGGAUAGGAGCUCCUGCUGCAUGGUGGGGGCGGGUAAGAUUCGGUGGUUGGGGGUGUACUCGCGGCUUAUCAGCUUGUUGGUGGGGUAGUGGCUUACCAAGGCUUUGACGGGUAGCCGGCCUGAGAGGGUGACCGGCCACAUUGGGACUGAGAUACGGCCCAGACUCCUACGGGAGGCAGCAGUGGGGAAUAUUGCACAAUGGGCGGAAGCCUGAUGCAGCAACGCCGCGUGCGGGAUGACGGCCUUCGGGUUGUAAACCGCUUUUGCCUGUGACGAAGCGAGAGUGACGGUAACGGGAGAAGAAGCACCGGCUAACUACGUG
rnacentral:rRNA from 1 species